GGAAUCUUCCGCAAUGGGCGAAAGCCUGACGGAGCAACGCCGCGUGAGUGAUGAAGGUUUUCGGAUCGUAAAGCUCUGUUGCCAAGGAAGAACGUCUUCUAGAGUAACUGCUAGGAGAGUGACGGUACUUGAGAAGAAAGCCCCGGCUAACUACGUGCCAGCAGCCGCGGUAAUACGUAGGGGGCAAGCGUUGUCCGGAAUUAUUGGGCGUAAAGCGCGCGCAGGCGGUUCUUUAAGUCUGGUGUUUAAACCCGAGGCUCAACUUCGGGUCGCACUGGAAACUGGGGGACUUGAGUGCAGAAGAGGAGAGUGGAAUUCCACGUGUAGCGGUGAAAUGCGUAGAUAUGUGGAGGAACACCGGUGGCGAAGGCGGCCCCCUGGACGAAGACUGACGCUCAGGUGCGAAAGCGUGGGGAGCAAACAGGA
rnacentral:misc_RNA from 1 species